rnacentral:sRNA from 1 species
AUAUAACUUAAUAACUAUUGUAAAUCAGAAAAUAUUAAACAUAUAUUAUUUUGAAACAUUUUAAGAAAGAUAUGAAAAUAAAAACACGGAAUAACGAUAAGUUCUGUCGAUUGUUGCAAAAUUUAAAGAUUGAAAAUAAGAACAAAUUGUUUUAAAGAAUAACAAGAUUGUCGAUUAAAUCGGUUUUAAUUUAAGGACUAAAGUGAUAAUUUGUAUAAAGUAUAAGCUCUGAUAUGAUUA